CUACGGGUGGCUGCAGUGAGGAACAUUGCACAAUGGGGGGAACCCUGAUGCAGCAACGCCGCGUGGAGGAUGACGCAUUUCGGUGUGUAAACUCCUUUUAUAUGUCAAGAAAAUGACGGUAGCAUAUGAAUAAGCACCGGCUAACUCCGUGCCAGCAGCCGCGGUAAUACGGAGGGUGCAAGCGUUACUCGGAAUCACUGGGCGUAAAGGACGCGUAGGCGGGUUGGAAAGUCAGGUGUGAAAUCCCACAGCUUAACUGUAGAACUGCACUUGAAACUUCUAAUCUAGAGUAUGGGAGGGGGAGAUGGAAUUAGUGGUGUAGGGGUAAAAUCCGUAGAUAUCACUAGGAAUACCUAAAGCGAAGGCGAUCUCCUGGAACAUUACUGACGCUAAGGCGUGAAAGCGUGGGGAGCAAACAGGAUUAGAUACCCGGGUAGUC
rnacentral:rRNA from 1 species